rnacentral:misc_RNA from 1 species
AGUUGUGAGCGUGACCUUUUUGAAGCAUACCCAUGCUGCUGACUUGCGAAGUUAUCCGGAUUCAUGGAGAGAUCUUGAACCAUCAAGGUUUUUUCAGUAGGUACACUGUUCAGGUGAUUCUGUACAUUUCCUGAAGCAAGCAAUGGUUUUUGGUCUCCAGUAGUGCUUGGAGAUGCCUCCUUAUUUUUACUAUCAACAAAAGGCAAUGGGCUUUGGCUGCCCUCCACUGCAGAAAUAGUAACUUGCAUUUCAGCUUUGCCCCCGAUGGAAGAUGGAAAAUCUAAUGCACUCACAAUAUCUUCUUUCAAGCGACUUC